rnacentral:rRNA from 1 species
GUAGGGAAUCUUGCGCAAUGGGCGAAAGCCUGACGCAGCCAUGCCGCGUGAAUGAUGAAGGUCUUAGGAUUGUAAAAUUCUUUCACCGGGGACGAUAAUGACGGUAACCGGAGAAGAAGCUCCGGCUAACUUCGUGCCAGCAGCCGCGGUAAUACGAAGGGGGCUAGCGUUGCUCGGAAUUACUGGGCGUAAAGGGCGCGUAGGCGGAUAUUUAAGUCGGGGGUGAAAGCCCGGGGCUCAACCUCGGAAUAGCCUUCGAUACUGGAUAUCUUGAGUACGGGAGAGGUGUGUGGAACUCCGAGUGUAGAGGUGAAAUUCGUAGAUAUUCGGAAGAACACCAGUGGCGAAGGCGACUCACUGGCCCGUUACUGACGCUGAGGCGCGAAAGCGUGGGGAGCAAACAGGAUUAGAAACCCUGGUAGUCC